AGCACAGGUUUACCUGUGUGACUGCGUACCUUUUGUAUAAUGGGUCAGCGACUUAUAUUCUGUAGCAAGGUUAACCGUAUAGGGGAGCCGGAGGGAAACCGAGUCUUAAUUGGGCGUUAAGUUGCAGGGUAUAGACCCGAAACCCGGUGAUCUAGCCAUGGGCAGGUUGAAGGUUGGGUAACACUAACUGGAGGACCGAACCGACUAAUGUUGAAAAAUUAGCGGAUGAUCUGUGGCUGGGGGUGAAAGGCCAAUCAAACCGGGAGAUAGCUGGUUCUCCCCGAAAGCUAUUUAGGUAGCGCCUCGUGAAUUCAUCUCCGGGGGUAGAGCACUGUUUCGGCUAGGGGGCCAUCCCGGCUUACCAACCCGAUGCAAACUGCGAAUACCGGAGAAUGUUAUCACGGGAGACACACGGCGGGUGCUAACGUCCGUCGUGAAGAGGGAAACAACCCAGACCGCCAGCUAAGGUCCCAAAGUCAUGGUUAAGUGGGAAACGAUGUGGGAAGGCCCAGACAGCCAGGAUGUUGGCUUAGAAGCAGCCAUCAUUUAAAGAAAGCGUAAUAGCUCACUGGUCGAGUCGGCCUGCGCGGAAGAUGUAACGGGGCUAAACCAUGCACCGAAGCUGCGGCAGCGAACGUAUCACCCAAGACAACUUUACGGAGUUGACGAUUGACGGAGCGAAGCGACGUCAAAGCGUUCAUUAAAGUCGAGUUGGCUUAGGGAUACGUUCGUUGGGUAGGGGAGCGUUCUGUAAGCCUGUGAAGGUGUGUCGUGAGGCAUGCUGGAGGUAUCAGAAGUGCGAAUGCUGACAUAAGUAACGAUAAAGCGGGUGAAAAGCCCGCUCGCCGGAAGACCA
rnacentral:rRNA from 1 species